rnacentral:rRNA from 1 species
CACGUAGGGCGCGAGCGUUGUCCGGAAUUAUUGGGCGUAAAGAGCUCGUAGGCGGCCUGUUGCGUCCGCUGUGAAAGCCCGGGGCUUAACCCCGGGUCUGCAGUGGAUACGGGCAGGCUAGAGGUAGGUAGGGGAGAAUGGAAUUCCCGGUGUAGCGGUGAAAUGCGCAGAUAUCAGGAGGAACACCGGUGGCGAAGGCGGGUCUCUGGGCCGAUACUGACGCUGAGGAGCGAAAGCGUGGGGAGCGAACAGG